rnacentral:rRNA from 1 species
UACGUAGGGUGCGAGCGUUAAUCGGAAUUACUGGGCGUAAAGCGUGCGCAGGCGGUUUUGUAAGCCAGAUGUGAAAUCCCCGGGCUUAACCUGGGAAUGGCAUUUGGGACUGCAAGGCUUGAGUGCGGCAGAGGAGACGUGGAAUUCCUGGUGUAGCAGUGAAAUGCGUAGGAUAUCAGGAGGAACACCGAUGGCGAAGGCAGGUCUCGUGGGCGACACUGACUCUGC